UACGAAGGGGGCUAGCGUUGCUCGGAAUCACUGGGCGUAAAGCGCACGUAGGCGGGUCUUUAAGUCAGGGGUGAAAUCCCGGAGCUCAACUCCGGAACUGCCUUUGAUACUGAGGAUCUUGAGUUCGAGAGAGGUGAGUGGAACUGCGAGUGUAGAGGUGAAAUUCGUAGAUAUUCGCAAGAACACCAGUGGCGAAGGCGGCUCACUGGCUCGAUACUGACGCUGAGGUGCGAAAGCGUGGGGAGCAAACAGG
rnacentral:rRNA from 1 species